GGGGUGCCACAUGAUUUUGGGGUGCCACAGGAUUCUGGGUGUCUGGGAUUGGGGUGUCCCAGGAUUUGGGGUGCCACAGGAUUUGGGGUGCCUGGGAUUGGGGUGUCCCGGAAUUUGGGGUGUCAGAGGAUUUUGGGUGUCCCAGGAUUGGGGGUGUCACAGGAUUCGAGUGUCUGGAAUUGGGGUGUCCCAGGUUUUGGGGUGUCCCGGGAUUGGGGGUGCUAUAGGAUUCGGGUGUCUGGGAUUGGGGGUGUCCCGGGACUGGGAAUGUCCCGGAUUUUGGGGUUCUCCAGGUUUUGGGGUGUCUGGGAUUGGGGGUGUCCCAGGAUUUGGGGUGUCACAGGAUUUUGGAGUGUCCUGGGAAUGGGGGUGUCUGGGGACUGGGGGUGUCCCGGGAUUGGGGUGUCCCAGGAUUUGGAGUUCUCCAGGUUUUAGGGUGUCCCAGGAUUGGGCGUGCCAAAGGAUUUGGGGUGUCUGGGAUUGGGGCUGUCACAAGAUUUGGGGUGUCCCGGAUUUUGGGGUUCCACAGGAUUUGGGGUGUCUGGGAUUGGGGUGCCACAGAAUUUGGGGCACCUGGGAUUGGGGUGUCCCGGGAUUUGGGGUGUCAGAGGAUUUUGGGUGUCCCAGGAUUGUGUGUGUCGCAGGAUUCGAGUGUCUGGGGUUGGGGGUGUCCCAGGUUUUGGGGUUCUCCAGGUUUUGGGGUGUCUGGGAUUGGGGGUGUCCCAGAAUUUGGGGUGCCACAGGAUUCGGGGUGUCUGGGAUUGGGGGCGUCACAGGAUUUGGAGUGUCCCGGCUUUUGGGGUUCCACAGAAUAUGGGGUGUCUGGAAUUGGGGUGCCUGGGAUUGGGGUGUCCCGGGAUUGUGGGUGCCACAGGAUUUGGCCUGUCUGGGAUUGGGGAUGUACUGGGUUUGGGAUUUUCCAGGAUUUGGGGUGUCAGAAGAUUUUGGGGUGUCCCAGGAUUGGGGGUACCUCAAGAUUCGGGGUGUCUGGGAUUGGGGAUGUCCCAGGAUUUGGGGUGUCGCAGGAUUUGGGGUGCCACAGGAUUCGGGGUGUCUGGGAUUGGGGGUGUCACAGGAUUUGGGGUGCCACAUGAUUUUGGGGUGCCCCGGGAUUGGGGUGUCCCGGGAUUUGGAGUUCUCCAGGUUUUAGGGUGUCCCAAGAUUGGGCGUGCCAUAGGAUUUGGGGUGUCCCGGGUUUUGGGGUUCCACAGAAUAUGGGGUGUCUGGAAUUGGGGUGUCCCGGGAUUUGGGGUGUCAGAGGAUUUUGGGUGUCCCAGAAUUGUGGGUGUCACAGGAUUCGAGUGUCUGGGGUUGGGGGUGUCCCAGGUUUUGGGGUGUCCCGGGAUUGGGGGUACCUCAAGAUUCUGGGUGUCUGGGAUUGAGGGUGUCUCGGGACUGGGGAUGUCCCGGGUUUUGGGGUUCUCCAGGUUUUGGGGUGUCCCAGGAUUGGUGGUACCUUAAGAUUCGGGGUGUCUGGGAUUGGGGGUGUCACAAGAUUUGGAGUGUCCCAGGUUUUGGGGUUCCACAGGAUUUGGGGUGUCUGGGAUUGGGGUGUCCCGGGAUUGGGGGUGCCACAGGAUUUGGCCUGUCUGGGAUUGGGGAUGUCCUGGGUUUUGGGAUGUUCCAGGAUUUGGGGUGUCAAAAGAUUUUGAUGUGUCCUGGGAUUGGGAGUGUCUGCGACUGGGGAUGUCCUGGGUUUUGGGGUUCUCCAGGUUUUGGGGUGUCCCAGGAUUGGGCGUAACAUAGGAUUCGGGGUGUCUGGGAUUGGGGCUGUCACAAGAUUUGGGGUGUCCCGGGUUUUGGGGUUCCACAGAAUAUGGGGUGUCUGGGAUUGGGUUGUCCAGGGAUUUGGGGUGCCACAGGAUUUGGGGUGCCUGGGAUUGGGGUGUCCCGGGUUUUGGGGUGUCCCAGGAUUGGGGGUACCUUAAGAUUCGGGGUGUCUGGGAUUGGGGGUGUCUCGGGACUGGGAAUGUCCCGGGUUUUGGGGUUCUCCAGGUUUUGGGGUGUCUGGGAUUGGGGUGUCCGGGGUUUUGGGGUGUCUGGGAUUGGGGUGUCCCGGGUUUUGGGGUGCCCCAGGUUUUAGGGUGU
ensembl:lncRNA